UACGGGGGGGGGCAAGCGUUUGUUCGGAAUUACUGGGCGUAAAGGGCUCGUAGGCGGCCAACUAAGUCGGAUGUGAAAUCCCCAGGCUCAACCUGGGAACUGCAUCCGAUACUGGAUGGCUUGAAUUCGGGAGAGGGAUGCAGAAUUCCAGGUGUAGCGGUGAAAUGCGUAGAUAUCUGGAGGAAUACCGGUGGCGAAGGCGGCUUCCUGGACAAUUACUGACGCUGAGACGCGAAAGCGUGGGGAGCAAACAGG
rnacentral:rRNA from 1 species